ACGCUGUUUCUCAUAGAAACCAGGAUAACAUUGGCCUUUCUGACCAACUGGCUUGUGUUCAAUUGGAUGUCCACUAACAUUCCAGAUUCUUUUCCUAUGUGCAGCUUGCCACCCUCCUUGUGAUGGUGCAAACCCGGAAGAAGCCCUUGAUCACCGAGGUUUGCUGCUUCGGAGCUGUUUCAGCCAGAACCACAGCGACUGACCACGAGGUUCAGGUGGGUUUCAGUCAGUUCCUUCAUUCAGGGAUCCCCGAGACAGCAGAGCGCCGGGCAGCUCUCGCAAAAGCCGCUGACGCAGCGAGGGCGUUGCCAGGGCAACGACUCUGCAUCCACUCCCCCUCGCCUAGAAAAAGCCUCCAGGACGGAGAGGAGGAGUCGGAGUGUGAGAAUUCCUGGGCUGUUAUAACGAAGAGAAACUGUAAGCCACCCAUACACGGGACUCCCCAGCAAGGACGGGAGUUAUCACUCUCAGGACAGAAUUGUUGCCUUUCUCCCUCUCUAUAAAGAAGAUGUAAGUACUUGACCUGAAAAUGAAUUCAGCUGUAUAACACUAGGAUGAAAUUAGGAAGAAUGAGUCUGGGGCUGUUCAGUCUGGAGAAGAGAAGGCUCCAGGAGGACUUGAUAGUGGCCUUUCAGUACGUAAAGAAAAUGAAGAAAAAGAAGGGGACAGACUCUUCAGCAGGCUCUGUGUUGUGAUUGCAUGAUUUUUUUGUUGUCAGUAUUCCACAUCAGAACAUCAUGUGGACUUAACGAGUUAAUGUUCCGGUUCCGUUUACUGUUGUGGACUCUUUGAGUAUCCUGAUUGGGAGGGGAGGGGGCGGCAUCCCCGGAGGACCUGGCAGGAAGAGGAAGUGGGGGGAGCGGUGGACAGGAUCCGGAGCGUCUGCCUCUCUCCUUCUGGCCCGGCUCAGCUGUCUCUGCUCUCCGCGGAGAAAGCACGUGCUUUCCCUCGCACUAUCGUGGUUUGACUCUCAUUUUUGAUACUCUUGUCUC